AGCUCAGUGGAUAGAGUGUUCGACUCCGACUCGAAAGACCGUGGGUUCGAAUCCCGCC
rnacentral:tRNA from 1 species